UUGUAAUACUGCAAAGUUGGGUAUCUUGAAAAAAAAAAAUUAGGCAAAUUUUAUCUGCAUGAUCUUGACUUCCAAAUUUUCAAAAUAACGAGGAUGACCAAAUUGAUAGUUUUUUUCUGAUAGAAUAAAUUGCAAAAAGCAAGUGUUUUAAAUGGUCAUCUUAAAUGGCUGAGAGGUUGAAGUCACAGUAUUGUUGAUAUGUGAGAACAAAAUUGAUAUCUUUGCUAAUUAGAAUGUUUGAUAUUCUCUUUUUAUAGAUAUUGUUUCGCUACUCUCUAGUGCAUUCAAAUUGACGACUGAAGUUUUGGGUAGAUUUUUAUUUUGGAAAAUCUAGUCAUGUACUGAUAUUAGAAAUUUAUUAGAAAUCUUUUAUUUUUGUUACAAUUCUUAAUGCCCUUUCUGUUCACCAGAAAUUGAAAUGAAUAGUUUAUGUGAUGAGAAAAAUUAUAACUUUGAGAAUGUAAAAUUGGAAUAAGAAUUUUUUUCAAACACUGUGCAUUUAGUCACUGGUUUAAUUGAAGCUCUGUAUUAAACAAGCCAAGUGUAUUUUUUUAUGUAAGUCUGUUUUAGAAUUGUUGAGUUACUGAUUUUGUUAUGGGUGUAUGUGUCUUCAGUUUUUCAUCCGAUUGGAUGUUCAAAAAAAGUAUCCAUUCCAUUGUGUAAAUACAAUGUUGAUAUGAACGGUAUAAUGUCAGAUUUUAUCCUAUGUUUUCCACAUACAGGAACUUUAAAUCAGAUGUACUUUACAUGCAUUGAUUUUGAGCCAUUAUGACAUUGUAAAACUUGAAAUAAAAUAUUCAGCUGUGAG
rnacentral:misc_RNA from 1 species